rnacentral:lncRNA from 7 species
AUCUCUUUUUGGAGAUUGCUUCUCUUGAAGUUUUUCCUGCAAGCCUACAACACAGGGCUCAACACAGGAAAAAAGAGGGCCAGUAUCCUGUCUUUAGGUUUUGAGGAAAUGCUGAUCUUUUCUCCUGUGAGUGAGUCUGGUUCCUGCCAACCAGGUCAGGUAUUUAUCAGCUCCCAUCUGGGUUAACAAAAUUCCCUGUGCCUAAAGCAACUCAUUGGCUCUGGCAGCCACAAAACCCAGCUUUCUGCUGCCUACGGAGUCUGUUCACUGGAAAUAUUCCAAAUUCUCCUUCCAAGUAAAGGUUGUUAUUUUUUUUCCCUGUUUUAACAACCACAACAAGGAUUAUAUGACAUCAGCUGGGACCUUCAUUCUUGUAAGUCUAAUCUACAGGAGUGGUAUUUGAGAGAAUUCCAGCUUUCUAAACAGCAGUUCAAAAACCCUAAAGUCAAUUGUAUCUAAGAAUACAAGCAGUCAGCCCUUAAAUGGGGUCUAGCAGAGGUGCAGCCAGGCUCCACCCCUUCUGGUCACACAGCUGAAUUGCCUUCACCUGUGCUCCCAGGGCUGACCUUGUCCUUUUCCCAGGUGAUCAAUCAGUGGUUCAGGCUGUGACUCAACAGUUCCCAUCCAGUGCCUUACAGUGUAAAUGGUCUCACAUCCCUUCUCAUACUACUAAAGAGAGACCACUGCAUCCACACAGCCAUGCCUUGGAGAUAGCAACUGGAGAACUGUAUGCAGAAGACUUCAGAAUAAGACCUCCAUAGAGGCAAUCAGGCUAUGAUCAGACAGCAUAAAAAGAUGUCGUAUCCCUGCUAGAUACUUCUGACUUGUGGUUGGCAUCCAAAUCCCCAUUGUAUUAUGGUUGGAUGUGUGCCCUCCUCUCAGAGGGAGGCUGUUGCAAUUGUAGCAGGGAGGGUAAGGAGCAUGACAUGCACAGUGCCUCAGCCACCACAGGUCACACUCCUGCAUUAUUAACAGAAGCCAAGGAAGAAGGCAGAUUUGUCAUAACAUGACAGGGUGUGACAUGGGACAACUGAGAUAUGAGAAUGUUUGCUGUCCCUAGCAGCCUGUUGUUCUAGAGAGCUGCCUGCACUGCCUCUUGGGAAAUCGUACCCAUGACAAGAAGUCCAGAAAAAAAGGCUUUGGAGGGGAAGUUAAAAUAAUUCUGAGCUAUGAGCCUUGCUGCUUUUUUUUCCUGUGAAGGAGGCAAGAUUAGGGAUUGUAUCUUUCUGCACUGAAGCAGUUUAUGAAUAUUAUUUGUUAGACAUGACUAUGGUGUAGAACUAAAGGAACUGCAUUACUUUCAGAGCAUCCCUCAUACAUUGCUGCCUUUUGUAUACAUAUGUCUGCUGUCUCUACUGCCUAUUUUUAUGGGUUAUCUUCUACAUCGUUGCUAUUAUUGAUACACCUUUGCCAUUUUGGUGGUGUGUCCAUGACAGCACUACUUCUGUACAUGUGCUAUAUAGCUACUUUAAGAAUGUGUAGGCAGUCUAGUGAAUCUGAGCAAUUUCAGAGCUAUUGCACACAUAAAGAUCAACUCCACACUGCUGGAGCAAUGCAGCCCUCCUCAGCCCCCCACUGUGCUACUGUUUCUCAAGCUACAUGCACACUGACAGGGAAAUAUGAACAUAUACGCCGUGAAAGCAGAACUGAAGGAGCUGUAGGACCAGUGCUGUCUGAACAAAUUUAAGAGCCCCCAAGUUUCAAAUGAAAUGGAAUGACACGGUCUUGUAAAAACUAUCAUCAGGGAGAAAGAGAAAUAUAUUAGGAUGCUUGUAGGUCAUUGUUAAUUAAAAAAAAGCAUCUGAUUAUCAUUAACAUAAAUUGUCACUGAAGGAAAUGGGCCCUUCAUUGCAGGAGACAAACUGGCUGAGUUAGCUUAAAUUGUCUCAAGUACAUGUACCAUGUGAUGGAACCAGCGAAGAAACUGAAGGCAAAUUAUAACUCUGCGUGUGGAUAACUAAUUCAGAAAACAGUUAAGCUUAUGUUGGACCUCAGUGUUUUGUUCAAUUGCAAUAGUGCCAGCACAGGCAAUGGUUGAGUUAAAGCUCUAAGAGCAGUAAAUUUACAGCUGAAGACAACAUUCCUACAUUUGCGAAAGCUAAGAGAAUCAAAAAUAGCAAUGGAAAAAGUCAUGAACUCUUUAUAUUUAUAGGUAUAUCUCAAAAAAAGAAAGCCCUAGCACAUAGAUUAAUUUGUAUCUCUUCACUUGCCAGACAGGUCUGUGCCAAACCCUGUUAUAUUUUGAUUUAGUAAUUCUUUCCUACAGAUAAUUCCACCUAGUUAGAAUUUGACUCGGAGGUAUUUGGUCUUCCUCUUGCUCCAGAAGUCACUCUGCUUUACUCUCGUAUUGCCAGUGGCUAUACCAAGAAUAGCCCUGUGACUGACACGGCUUCCAAAGCACUUGG